AGCGAACGCUGGCGGCAGGCUUAACACAUGCAAGUCGAACGGGCACCUUCGGGUGUCAGUGGCAGACGGGUGAGUAACACGUGGGAACGUACCCUUCGGUUCGGAAUAACUCAGGGAAACUUGAGCUAAUACCGGAUACGCCCUUUUGGGGAAAGGUUUACUGCCGAAGGAUCGGCCCGCGUCUGAUUAGCUUGUUGGUGGGGUAACGGCCUACCAAGGCGACGAUCAGUAGCUGGUCUGAGAGGAUGAUCAGCCACACUGGGACUGAGACACGGCCCAGACUCCUACGGGAGGCAGCAGUGGGGAAUAUUGGACAAUGGGCGCAAGCCUGAUCCAGCCAUGCCGCGUGAGUGAUGAAGGCCUUAGGGUUGUAAAGCUCUUUUGUCCGGGACGAUAAUGACGGUACCGGAAGAAUAAGCCCCGGCUAACUUCGUGC
rnacentral:rRNA from 1 species